UACUCUCCCUGUGUUCUGUGGUUCAGGUAGAUUCAGUCUUUACACUCAGAUAACUAACACUGUCUUUUUUCAGACUGAGAGAGAAACCUGAUUGCUGCUUUGGCUGACUACCUGAACUCUGACCCCUGCUCCUGCUCUGACUGACCCAGAGAGAACUCAGACGCAGAGAGAACCGGACCAGAACUCCUGCUUGGCUGGUGAUCAGAUUUUUAGUCACUGAGGUUCAGUCCAUCACAUCACUGAGUAUAGGAGUGUUUCACAUUUUAAUCACAGAGUUUUUGUGGUUUAUCACAACUGCUGAGUUCACACAUGAAUAUAAAUGUAGUGAAAACAGACCUGUAAACACUGACUGAAGUUAGAGCCAUGUGAGCUGAGCUGUUCUGCCUGUAUAGUGGAUCAGAACAGGUCCCAGCAGCAGAGUCUGACAGUAGAAAGCUGACAGUUGAAAGCUGACAGUUUUAAUGGAACAUCACUAAAGGCAGAAAUCAGUGUGUAAAGUGAGCAGAACAUGUUGUGCAGUGAUCAGUUCUGUAUUGUUCUGCUUCAUGUUGAACAAGUCAGUGGGUCUUGAGAUUAUUUUAAUCAAGUCCACAUUUCAUAGUACCAGCUGUUUUCACACACAUCUGGAAACUACUGGCCUAAAAAGUGAUUUAUUUAACUUUUUCAA